rnacentral:rRNA from 1 species
GAUGAACGCUAGCGGGAGGCUUAACACAUGCAAGUCGAGGGGCAUCACGAGGUAGCAAUACUUUGGUGGCGACCGGCGCACGGGUGAGUAACACGUAUGCAACCUUCCCUGUACAGGGGGAUAACCCGGAGAAAUUCGGACUAAUACCCCAUGAUGAUAUUUAUGGGCAUCCAUUGAUAUUUAAAGCUCUGGCGGUACAGGAUGGGCAUGCGCGACAUUAGCUAGUUGGUAAGGUAACGGCUUACCAAGGCUACGAUGUUUAGGGGACCUGAGAGGGUUGUCCCCCACACUGGUACUGAGACACGGACCAGACUCCUACGGGAGGCAGCAGUGAGGAAUAUUGGUCAAUGGGCGCAAGCCUGAACCAGCCAUCCCGCGUGAAGGAAGAAUGCGCUACGCGUUGUAAACUUCUUUUCCAGGGGAGAAUAAUCCUGUCGUGACAGGACUUGACGGUACUCUGGGAAUAAGCAUCGGCUAACUCCGUGCCAGCAGCCGCAGUAAA